rnacentral:rRNA from 1 species
GACGAACGCUGGCGGCGUGCUUAACACAUGCAAGUCGAACGGACAGGCCCUGCUCUUGUGGCGUGCUCGUUUGGCGAACGGGUGAGUAACACGUGAGUAACCUGCCCUUGUAUUUGGGAUAACUUCAGGAAACUGGGGCUCAUACCGGAUAGGAUCUCCUGCUGCACGGUGGGGGAUGGAAAGUUACGGCGGUUGGGGAUGGACUCGCGGCUUAUCCGCUUGUUGGUGGGGUUGUGGCUUACCAAGGCUUUGACGGGUAGCCGGCCUGAGAGGGUGACCGGCCACAGUGGGACUGAGAUACGGCCCAGACUGCUACGGGAGGCAGCAGUGGGGAAUAUUGCACAAUGGGCGGAAGCCGGAUGCAGCAACGCCGCGUGCGGGAUGACGGCCUUCGGGUUGUAAACCGCUUUCGCCUGUGACGAAGCGUGAGUGACGGUAAUGGGUAAAGAAGCACCGGCUAACUACGUG